rnacentral:rRNA from 1 species
CCUACGGGUGGCUGCAGUGAGGAAUAUUGGUCAAUGGGCGGAAGCCUGAACCAGCCAAGUAGCGUGCAGGAUGACGGCCCUACGGGUUGUAAACUGCUUUUAUACGGGAAUAACGCGCCUUACGUGUAGGGCUUUGCAUAUACCGUAUGAAUAAGGACCGGCUAAUUCCGUGCCAGCAGCCGCGGUAAUACGGAAGGUCCGGGCGUUAUCCGGAUUUAUUGGGUUUAAAGGGAGCGUAGGCCGCAUGUCAAGCGUGCUGUGAAAUGUCCGGGCUCAACCCCGCCGAGCCGUCGGAACUGGGGGCCUUGAGUGCGGCGGAGGCAUGCGGAAUGCGCGGUGUAGCGGUGAAAUGCAUAGAUAUCGCGCAGAACCCCGAUUGCGAAGGCAGCGUGCCGUGCCGCCACUGACGCUGAGGCACGAAAGCGCGGGGAUCGAACAGGAUUAGAUACCCCAGUAGUC